UUAUCGUUUAUUUGAUAGUACCCAACUACAUGGAUACCUGUGGUAAUUCUAGAGCUAAUACAUGCUAAAAACCUCGACUUCGGAAGGGGUGUAUUUAUUAGAUAAAAAACCAAUGCCCUCCGGGGCUCCUUGGUGAAUCAUAAUAACUUAACGAAUCGCAUGGCCUUGCGCCGGCGAUGGUUCAUUCAAAUUUCUGCCCUAUCAACUUUCGAUGGUAGGAUAGUGGCCUACCAUGGUUUCUACGGGUAACGGGGAAUUAGGGUUCUAUUCCGGAGAGGGAGCCUGAGAAACGGCUACCACAUCCAAGGAAGGCAGCAGGCGCGCAAAUUACCCAAUCCCGAUUCGGGGAGGUAGUGACAAUAAAUAUUGAUGCAGAGCUCUUUUGGGUUUUGCAAUUGAAAUGAGCACAAUUUAAAUCUCUUAGCGAGGAACAAUUGGAGGGCAAGUCUGGUGGACUUGAGCCUACGCUGGCACCAGAAAAUAUAGGCUCAUCGGUGCACAUUAGGCACGAUGCCGCCUAUCAGUCCAUCGUUUUGACCCCGAAACGUAGGGCGAGGCUACCUGGCUCGGGGAACAUCCGAAGAGCCUCUUCGGACGAUCUCGCAGUGAACAUGCCAACAUGUCAUUGUAAAGCGCGAUAAGGUGCCGGCCGCCCAUAGCUCCGGGCGGCUCGAGGGACGUGCUAUUUCCAUUCGCAAGGGUGGCCCUGGGUGCAGCGUCAACCAACUGUCACCCGGGGGAGGGUGGUUUUUUCGAUUCUCAAGGGUCAUCAUCAACCCAUUCUAGGCCAGCAGCCGCGGUAAUUCCAGCUCCAAUAGCGUAUAUUAAAGUUGUUGCAGUUAAAAAGCUCGUAGUUGAAACUUGG
rnacentral:rRNA from 1 species